rnacentral:lncRNA from 1 species
CGCUGGUGUCGUCAGAGGCAGACGUUGCUCCCGAUGUAAAUAUGGGGCGGGAAGAUUUCUGCUCAAGGGCCGUGUUGGGCUCGAAAAAGAAGCCUCUUGUGCUUCUGCAGUCGAUUUGGCACCAAUGGGCUGCAGUGCAAAGAAACAUUGGCAGAUUUAUGGGGGUUGACAUGGAUUUGAGGAGGCCAUGGCAGAAUUCGAGGGAGGACAUGAAAAUGUGUGUGUAUAAGCUGCAUUGGUUGUGAUACAGAAUAUACAUGGAUGAUUCACAGUGAAGGCUUAUCAUCAUACGAAGAACCAGUGUCAAGCUCUAAACUACCAGGAUGUUUGUUGGGCUUACAUACUGCAGUGCCAGAAGACAUGGAGACAGCUGUUACACAGAGCCAUAGAAUACAUGAUUCAUGGCUACCAGGAAGACACAGGCAGAAGUCCACAGUAAAGUAUUGCAGUCUUUGCAGUAUUUCCCUAUUUCCCAGGAAGACGAAAUUGUGAUUUCAGCUGAACCAACAAUUCUUCCCCGUAUUUGGGAUAAGAUACGCUACCAUGUGUCUCCAUCAUCAGCCCCAGGGCAGACCUCGAUGAAACAUCAUACGCGUGAUUAGAAUUAAGCCAAGUGGAUAUGUGUGUAUAUGUGUGUAUUUAUGUAUGUAUGUAUAUAUUUAUCUCUG